AAAUGCACGAAAAGGCUGGAAUGUUCUCUUACAAAGUCAAACCGGGACCCCGCCCAUUCACUGAAGAGCGCAUAAAGUGAAUUGGUGCCUGUUGCGAAGUGCCCGGUCAGAGGGAAAGACUGGUCGGUGCCGGCGAUCGGCAGGUAACUCCUCCCAGGGCCGCUCCGAGGAGAUUUCGCUGCCUUCCCCCGACUCCAACAGGAGGAGAGGGGCGGAAUCAAACGCGCACAAAAUUCCUUGGGGGCUGCGUUAAGUUUCCCAGGCAAUUAAAAAAAAAUGUACAAAAUAAAUCAAUGUCUAAAGCACCGACCCGUCCUUAUCACAAAGUCCAGUCACGUCCCGGCACACUGGGAAGAAAGGAUGUCAUAUAUCAUGAGAGACUGCUGGGAAACAAUUCCUUGUCAUUUUCUGUUGCUCACAUUACACAACAAAAGCGGGCCGAGAACGGAUUUGAAGAGUAUAGAGAGUGUGCAGGAAGCGAGUGGAAGGGAGAUGCUGAGGUCCAGCAUUAAUGUCCUUUAGAGCUGCCUCCUGGAGAAGAUCAGAGAUGAGGUCCUGAAAAGGACCAAGAACAUGAGCUGACUCGUGGAAAAAACCAGAGAUCAUGAGCAACUCCUUCUCAAAGUGGCGAGGAAGACUGGGGUCUGAUGUUGGUGUUUUUCUGUGUGGGCAAUUCUGUUGUGUGUGAGAGAGGGUUUGUGGAUUUUGAUGCUAUUGUUGCUGGUUAUUUUUUUUUACGAAGAUGGGGCUGGGGAUUUAAUGUCAUCAUUGAUUUUUUUGCAAGUGAGGGGUUGAGGAUUUGGGGAUGCUCUGUUAGUUUUUUGUGCGGGGAGUUUGGGGUUUCUGAGUUUCGUUUCUUUUUCAUGUUGGGGGGAGUGAUGGGCGGUUCUCUUCAACAACUCACAUGGUUCUUCUGUAUUUCAUGGCUACCUGGGGAAGACGAAUAUCAGAGUUGUAUUGUACAUGCAUACUUUGACAAUAAAAUGAACCUUUGAACCGUUAAUGCCUUAGCUAUAAGGGCAACAUUUAGUUUAUGACAAGGAUUUAAAGAGCUAAUUUUGAAUUUAAUGCAGAAAAAACACACAGAGUGCUGGAGGAACACAUAAGGUCAGGCAGCAUCUAGGGAGGGGAAUAAACAGUUGAUGUUUCAGGCCAAGACCCUUCAUCGGGAGUGGGACGCUGGUAAAUUAAAAUCUGUGUCUAUCAAUAGAACGGUAUCUAUGUUGACAUCUGGUAGUUGGGACGCCUUCCAGACCAUUGAGAGCGGUGGGGGCAGAUUGCAGGACUGAUACGAAUCUUCCACUUCUCCCUGGGUUCAGGGUGAUGGGGGAAGGACUGGCAAAUGCGUUUAUUCAUUUGGGCAUCACACUUUACAACAUCGGGGAUUGGAAGUUUGGGGUACAAUUUCUACUGUUAUAGAUUUGCCUGUUCUCCCAGUGAGUGCCUGUGUUUCGUCUGGAUGCUUCGGUUUCCUCCCACGUUCCAAAGAAAGAUGCACAGGUUAGGGUCAGCAUGCUGUGGACAUGCUAUGUUGGUAUAGCAACACUCGCAGGCUUUUUCCAACACAUCCACUGUGCUGUUUGCUGAUGCAAAUGGUGCAUUUCACUGUACAUUUCCAUGUACAUGUGAUAAAUAAGUUAAUCUUUCUUUCACUUCAGUUCAGUUUCAGUUUAUUGUCAUUUAGAAACCACAAAUGCAAUGCAGUUAAAAAAUGAGACAACAUUCCUCCAGAAUGAUAUCACAAAAGCAUAUGACAAAACAGACUACACCAGAAAAUCCACAUAACAUUUGGCAAUCCCCAAUCCAGAGUCCGGAGAGGCUGCUGCAUAUUAAUAUUGCGCUACCAUCUUAGCGCGUUCCCUGGAAAGGAGCUCCAAACCCACCAGACAAAACAAGACUACCCAGACACACCAAGUCAGGAGAAAAACUCUAGCACCCAACAAACCAAAAACUAAAGCUGCAAGACCUGCAUAAAACCACAUGGUUACAACUGUGCAAACAAUAGCAUAAUUGAUAAAAACAGACCAUGGACACAGUAAAAAUAGUCCAAAGAUGUUAAAAGACUAUAAGUUCGAAAGAAAUCACCACACAGUUUCCACAAGUCCUCAGGGUCCCGAUAGACUCGUCAUCCCACGCCGGCGGCAGAAGGGAAUACCCCCGCUAUGGACUUCCACAGCGCUGCCGGACUCAGCCUCACAGACGCAGCACACAGUGAAAGCACCCUGACCACAGCGGACUCAAGUCCAUCGAACCUCUGAGCCUCCGACCAUACCCUCAAGCACCAUCCUCUGCCGAGCACACGACGCCCCCACCACCGGCCACAUGACCCCGAGGACUGGGGGCCUGUUCUUCCCAGCAGAGACCCGGACUUCACAGCAGCAGCAGCAAUGAAGAAGGCCUUCCUGGAGAUUUCCAGAUGUUCCUCUGUGCUCCCACGUCCGUUUUUCAUCAGAUUAGGAUUGCGCACGGCACCCCACUUAACAAAUAACAGAGGAUCAGCUCCGGAGUGGCCGCUGCAAGCUGCGUCAUGCUGCCAUCUAAAUGGAGCUGCACUGAGAACCUAAAUUAGCAAAAUCCAUGAGUGACUGAGUGAUCAACGUAGUUGGCUCUUGAGUUGUUUUUCUUGAAAUGAGGAGAGAGUGUGAAUGCAAUCAAGGACACAUAUGGAUUAGUAUUAGAUCGUUGAUUCAAGUCUCACAUUAAAGGACAUGAGCAAAGUUGAAAGACAAUGAACUGAGGUGGUCAGGAAAUUGGCCUCAGAGAAGGAAGACAUUUAGUAAUGGUUGUUUUUCAUCUGGGGAGCAGCAAAAUUAAAAAUCAGUGUUUCAGUAGUGUCCGUGCUGGGUCCAGCUUCUAAUUUUGUAAGAUGGUGGUGGUUGGCAUCUCUCGAAGGACAGUGGGUGAUGAUCAUCAUCACAAGCAUUGGUGGAAGAAACGGAGAUCCUGAGAUGCCCAGUCGUCAACAUCCACCUCUGAACUUCACGAGUGUAGUCUAAAGGAAAGCUUAAUGAAGCAAUACGUUUGGCACCAGCUCGGCUGCAGGAGCUGCCGGAAGGAUGUUCAAUGACAUCAAGCCGCCUUAGGGAUUCCACUCUGGAUUUGCUCCCUGGGUUUACUCCCGCAGCCCCCAUCUCUCCUGAAGCUGCCCACAAGGUAGUGGGGUUAUUUACCCUCAGCUGGGGAUCAGGUUGAUGAGCACCAGGGCAUGUCCACACACCAGAGGUCCUGCGUGCUGCGUAUGUAGGGGCCAGACUGCCUCCCCGCCCUCUGUAGCUCAGUUUCUGUGUAUCACCAGCGAGGAGGCACUACACGAGGCUUUCUAGUGGAGAGGCUAUGUACUGGCAGGGUGAGACUUACACAUUCGGCACCUCUUCUUGCAAGACCGCUAAGCCAGCGGUGGAAGCUGAAAGUGAGAGCGACAAGUACUACCCAGUACUCUACCACACUAGACGUGUCACAACAACCAUUUUCGUAGAUACAAGUAGUUUAAAAGUGCUUGUGCAAUAUAGUCAAAUUGUGUGGAUGACAUCAAGUGGGAUGGUUAUACAUGAGAAGACUCUUACUGGAAUGGGUAGACCUGUGGCAGCUGGAAUCUAAUGCAGGGAAGUGUGAAGUGAAUCAUUUUGGCAGGAAGAACGAGAAGUGCAUACGUAGGUCAAAUAAAACCAUUUCAAACAGGGUGCAGGCCUGCAAAGCACAAGUCUUUGAUGGUAGCACAGCAAAUGAGUAACAAAAUUGGAAUUAUUUGGCUUUAUUGAGAAUGACAGAAUAUAAAAAGCAAAGUAGUAAUGCAUUAUACCCUGAUGUUGCACAUUUAAUGUAGGUGGAGGAUUUAUUUAAAAAUACAUAUGAGGACUGUACGUCCCUGUCGCAGUGGUGUGGAGGCUGAAUUGUUAAAAAAUUUGGAGAUGCUGAAAGUAGGAGGAUUGAGCAGAUGAAGGGGACAUAUCACAUUAGCUGAUUACACAAGCAACAAACAGGCUGGAGACAGAAAGCUGCCAGUCAGGGAAUUGCCCGAGAGCGGAAAACAAACCGGUGUUCAGUCCUCUGCUCUGUGCCAGCCAGGAUUCCACCCCUGAGCUUGUCCCGUCUGUCUGCAUUUGACUCGUCUCCCUUUCUUCUCACUACUACCAGCAGGCAGGAGGCACAGGAGACUCGGGUCCAACGCUGCCAGGUUGGGGAGCAGCUGUUGCCCUGUAAGCCAUUCGGCUCCUGGACCAGCUUCACUUGUUUCCGCGCUGAACUAACUCUGCAGAUCACGUUCUCAGUGCUAUUGCUUACUUUUUAAAAAUUAUUUGCAUGAUUUCAGAUUGGAUGUUGGUCAGUAUUUGCUAACUGUGGUUUUCCGUGUUUUGCAUUGCAUUUUAUUUGUUUUUCUGUGGGCGCCUGCGAGGAAAUGAAUCUCAAGGUCAUACAUAUAUACUGUACAAAAUUCGAUCACACAUUUACUUUGCACUUUGAGGUGAAUGUUAAUAUGAACAAGCAGAAAAGUACCUUGAGGCCAAGACCAGGUCAGCCCUUACUGAAUGAAAGAGCAGCCUCCGGGGAUCACACGUGUUCCUGUUCCCAUCUCUUACGCUCUCAUAAUCUCCAACACACUAGCUGAAUAUAUUAGAUACAUUAUCAAUAAUUAUCAAUAUCAAUUGAAUAUAUUCAAUUGCGGCUUUUAAAAUUCUAAGUGGAUAAACACUUUAUAGAAUAGAGAAAUGGGACCCUCUUCAAUAUUUUUCAAAAGCUAGUAGACACGCUGGGUUAAAUGGCUGCUUCUGUGAU